rnacentral:rRNA from 1 species
AGAGUUUGAUCCUGGCUCAGGAUGAACGCUGGCGGCGUGCUUAACACAUGCAAGUCGAACGAAGCAUAAGAAUUGGAAUUCUUCGGAAGGAAGAGUCUUAUGACUGAGUGGCGGACGGGUGAGUAACGCGUGGGUAACCUACCUCAUACAGGGGGAUAACAGUUAGAAAUGACUGCUAAUACCGCAUAAGCGCACAGUACUGCAUAGUACAGUGUGAAAAACUCCGGUGGUAUGAGAUGGACCCGCGUCUGAUUAGCUAGUUGGUAAGGUAACGGCUUACCAAGGCGACGAUCAGUAGCCGACCUGAGAGGGUGAUCGGCCACAUUGGGACUGAGACACGGCCCAAACUCCUACGGGAGGCAGCAGUGGGGAAUAUUGCACAAUGGGGGAAACCCUGAUGCAGCAACGCCGCGUGAGUGAUGAAGGCCUUCGGGUUGUAAAGCUCUGUCUUCAGGGACGAUAAUGACGGUACCUGAGGAGGAAGCCACGGCUAACUACGUGCCAGCAGCCGCGGUAAU